rnacentral:rRNA from 1 species
CCUACGGGUGGCAGCAGUAGGGAAUUUUCGUCAAUGAGCGCAAGCCUGAACGAGCAAUGCCGCGUGAACGAGGAAGGUCUUCGGAUCGUAAAGUUCUGUUGUAGGGGAAAAAGAGCGGAGAGAGGAAAUGAACUCCGAUUGAUAUUACCCUUCGAGGAAGUCACGGCUAACUAUGUGCCAGCAGCCGCGGUAAUACGUAGGUGGCGAGCGUUAUCCGGAAUGAUUGGGCGUAAAGGGUGCGUAGGCGACCUGCUAAGUCUGGAGUGAAAGGUACCGGCUCAACCGGUACAGGCUCUGGAAACUGGCGGGCUAGAGAGAAGGAGAGGGCAGUGGAACUCCAUGUGUAGCGGUAAAAUGCGUAGAUAUAUGGAAGAACACCAGUGGCGAAGGCGGCCGCCUGGCCUGUUACUGACGCUGAGGCACGAAAGCGUGGGGAGCAAAUAGGAUUAGAUACCCGUGUAGUC